AGUGAACGCUGGCGGUAGGCCUAACACAUGCAAGUCGAACGGCAGCACAGGAGAGCUUGCUCUCUGGGUGGCGAGUGGCGGACGGGUGAGGAAUACAUCGGAAUCUACUUUUUCGUGGGGGAUAACGUAGGGAAACUUACGCUAAUACCGCAUACGACCUACGGGUGAAAGCAGGGGACCUUCGGGCCUUGCGCGAUUGAAUGAGCCGAUGUCGGAUUAGCUAGUUGGCGGGGUAAAGGCCCACCAAGGCGACGGUCCGUAGCUGGUCUGAGUGGAGGAUCAGCCACACUGGAACUGAGACACGGUCCAGGCUCCUACGGGAGGCAGCAGUGGGGAAUAUUGGACAAUGGGCGCAAGCCUGAUCCAGCCAUACCGCGUGGGUGAAGAAGGCCUUCGGGUUGUAAAGCCCUUUUGUUGGGAAAGAAAUCCAGCUGGCUAAUACCCGGUUGGGAUGACGGUACCCAAAGAAUAAGCACCGGCUAACUUCGUGCCAGCCGCCGCAGUAA
rnacentral:rRNA from 1 species